CGAAGACAGCGUAAGGGCUCCACCUCUUCCCAUUCCGAACAGAGAAGUUAAACCUUAUCACGCCGAUGGUACUGCGAAAGCGGAAGAGUAGGUAAUCGCCACCU
rnacentral:rRNA from 1 species